UACAGAGGGUGCAAGCGUUAAUCGGAAUUACUGGGCGUAAAGCGUGCGUAGACGGUCAUGUAAGUCGGGUGUGAAAGCCCCGGGCUCAACCUGGGAAUUGCAUUCGAGACUGCAUGGCUAGGGUGCGGAAGAGGGAAGCGGAAUUUCCGGUGUAGCGGUGAAAUGCGUAGAUAUCGGAAGGAACACCAGUGGCGAAAGCGGCUUCCUGGUCCGACACCGACGUUCAGGCACGAAAGCGUGGGGAGCAAACAGG
rnacentral:rRNA from 1 species